rnacentral:rRNA from 1 species
UACGUAGGGGGCAAGCGUUAUCCGGAUUUAUUGGGCGUAAAGAGCUCGUAGGCGGCCGUUCGCGUCGGAUGUGAAAGCUCAGGCUCAACUCUGAGACGCCAUUCGAUACGGGACGGCUAGAGGUAGGUAGGGGAAGGACGUGAAGUUCCUGGUGUAGCGGUGAAAUGCGCAGAUAUCAGGAGGAACACCGGUGGCGAAGGCGGGCUUCUGGGCCGUA